UACGAAGGGUGCAAGCGUUACUCGGAAUUACUGGGCGUAAAGCGUGCGUAGGUGGUUUGUUAAGUCUGUUGUGAAAGCCCCGGGCUCAACCUGGGAAUGGCAAUGGAUACUGGCAGGCUAGAGUGCGGUAGAGGGUAGUGGAAUUCCCGGUGUAGCGGUGAAAUGCGUAGAGAUCGGGAGGAACACCAGUGGCGAAGGCGGCACUCUGGGCCGUGACUGACGCUGAGGAGCGAAAGCGUGGGUAGCAAACAGG
rnacentral:rRNA from 1 species